UCGUGCUAGAUGGGGAGAUAGCGGUGCCCUGUAACCCGCAAACCGCUACAGCGGGGUUGAAUUCCCGAACGAGGCCUUAGAUUCUCCUUAGUUGAACUUCAGGACAGGAUGUUGAAAGCCAGGACCCGCGCAACGGAACGUUUCUGGACCCCGUCAGGAUCGGAAGAUAGCAGCGGCAGGAAAUAGUCGCCGUGUGCCGCGGGGCAUCUUGGCUGGAGUUCUGUCCUCCAGGGAUCUUCGGGGAGUCGGGUCAAGAACGGGUGCACGG
rnacentral:SRP_RNA from 1 species